AAGGAGUGACGCAGUAAGGUAGGUCUAGCCGGCGGUGGUCGUCCGGCGCCAAGCGUGUAGGGUGUCGCGUAGGCAAAUCCGCGUGACAUUAAGCCCGAGACGUGAUGGGGAGUCGCAAUUGCGGCGAAUUGACUGACCCUACACUGCCUAGAAAAACUUCUAACCAGAGCAAACGUGCCCGUACUGAAACCGACACUGGUGGGCAAGUAGAGAAUACUAAGGCGACGGGUGAAGCCCUCUUAAGGAACUCGGCAAAUUAGCCCCGUAACUUCGGGAAAAGGGGUGCCUUGGUUGGUGUAACGAUUUACUCGUGAAGCUGAUUGAGGUCGCAGUGAAAUGGCCCAAGCGACUGUUUAACACAAACACAGGUCUCUGCCAAGCCGCAAGGCGACGUAUAGGGGCUGACGCCUGCCCGGUGCUGGAACGUUAAGGGGAGGGCUUAGGGGUAACUCGAAGGCCUGAACCGAAGCGCCAGUAAACGGCGGCCGUAACUAUAACGGUCCUAAGGUAGCGAAAUUCCUUGUCGGGUAAGUUCCGACCCGCACGAAAGGCGUAACGACUUGGGCACUGUCUCAAGAGGGGGCCCGGCGAAAUUGCAUUACCUGUGAAGAUGCAGGUUACCCGCAGCAAGACGGAAAGACCCCGUGGAGCUUUACUGUAGCUUGAUGUUGAAUUUUGGUUAAUUCUGUACAGGAUACGUAGGAGACUUUGAUGGUGCAACGCCAGUUGUAUCGGAGUCAUCGUUGGGAUACCACGCUGAAUUGGCUGGAGUUCUAACCUAGCGACUGAUCGUCGUUGGGGACAGCGUCUGGUAGGCAGUUUGACUGGGGCGGUUGCCUCCCAAAGAGUAACGGAGGCGUUCAAAGGUCCCCUCAGCCUGGUCGGGAAUCAGGCGAAGAGUGCAAGCGCAUAAGGGGGCUUGACUGCGAGACGAACAUGUCGAGCAGAGUGGAAACACGGAGCUAGUGAUCCGGCGGUGCCGCAUGGAAGGGCCGUCGCUUAUCGGAUAAAAGCUACCCCGGGGAUAACAGGCUUAUCGCGCCCAAGAGUCCAUAUCGACGGCGCGGUUUGGCACCUCGAUGUCGGCUCAUCGCAUCCUGGGGCUGUAAUCGGUCCCAAGGGUUGGGCUGUUCGCCCAUUAAAGCGGUACGUGAGCUGGGUUCAGAACGUCGUGAGACAGUUCGGUCCCUAUCUGCUGUGGGCGUAGGAGACUUGAAGGGAUCUGUCCUUAGUACGAGAGGACCGGGAUGGACAGACCUCUGGUGAACCAGUUGUCAUGCCAGUGGCAAAGCUGGGUAGCUAUGUCUGGAAGGGAUAAACGCUGAAAGCAUCUAAGCGUGAAGCCCACCCUAAGAUUAGGUCUCCCACCGCGUAAGCGGGUAAGAGCCCUGGAAGACUACCAGGUUGAUAGGUCGGAUGUGUAAGCUCAGUAAUGGGUUUAGCUAACCGAUACUAAUAGCUCGAGGACUUCAU
rnacentral:rRNA from 1 species